rnacentral:rRNA from 1 species
GAUGAACGCUGGCGGCGUGCCUAAUACAUGCAAGUCGAGCGAACGGACGAGAAGCUUGCUUCUCUGAUGUUAGCGGCGGACGGGUGAGUAACACGUGGAUAACCUACCUAUAAGACUGGGAUAACUUCGGGAAACCGGAGCUAAUACCGGAUGAUAUUUUGAACCGCAUGGUUCAAAAGUGAAAGACGGUCUUGCUGUCUCUUAUAGAUGGAUGCGCGCUGCAUUAGAUAGUUGGUAAGGUAACAGCUUACCAAGGAAACGAUGCAUAGCCGACCUGAGAGGGGGGUCGGCGACACUGGAACUGAGACACGGUCCAGGCUCCUACGGGAGGCAGCAGUAGGGUAUCUUCCGCAAUGGGCGAAAGCCUGACGGAGCAACGCCGCGUGAGUGAUGAAGGUCUUCGGAUCGUAAAACUCUGUUAUUAGGGAAGAACAUAUGUGUAAGUAACUGUGCACAUCUUGACGGUACCUAAUCAGAAAGCCACGGCUAACUACGUG